rnacentral:lncRNA from 1 species
UUCUUUCUCAUUCACGCUUUCAUUCAAGCUUACAAAACCCUAAUUGAUUCAGUUCUGGAUUUCCAACGAGCGAUGAUUGAAGUAGAGAUCUCUAAAGCAAUGGUGUGGUAACUCAAGUGACGGCGACGGCGGUGGUGGUGCAAUCAUUUCGAUUCAACCAACCAUCUGGUAUUUUAACAAAAAAAACCUUUUUUAAACCAACCCAGCCGGAAUCCGAGCCGAGAUAAUGGAUGCUCUAAGGUUUAUGAAGGUUUGAUGAACUCUGCUGCGUGUACUGGCGGAUUCUUGAGCAGAUCGGUUGGAACUGAGACGAGAUCCUAGCAGUACAUGGUGGUCAAGGUUGGUUCCGACAACCCGAUUCCGAUUUAGCGGCCGCAUGUAUAUUUUUCGAGAACAAAGUUCUGGAGGCUUUAAUGAUGAUUCUAACAGCUGCAGUAACUAUUUGCGACACCGUAAGGGGCUAUUAACGGAUAUUUGUUAUGUGAAAGAAUAGGUGGUGUUCAUAUUGGGUUGAGUUAGGGCACAAUAAGUGGGUGAUUCAGGACAUUUGUUUUGGUGUAAUUGUUGAUGUGUGUGACCUCAUCGAUGGCUGAUUAAAGGCUGAUGUGAGUGGGAAAUUGAUGGCGAUCGCAAUCAGAGGUCAACAUGUUACAGCACAACUUGGUUAGCGACUAUCGACUUUGGAUUUAUGCUGGGAACUUUGAAUCAAGCAGCCUUUGAGUUGUCUGUAGCUUUCUAGGUCGGUUUUAUUUCUGAAAUGAUGGCAGGAAAGGAACUGUGGGAUGAGGGUGGAAGCUCACCCAUAUGCUGCUACAACUCUUACUCAGAUGUUUCUGAAAUAAGCAUGUGCUGUCCUCCCCACGACUGAUUGAUAGAGUUGCAACCGCAAUCCGCAUAUCUCAGUGAUUUGGGUGAGGAAUUGCAAUUGCACAUUGUUUACUUAAGUGUUGCUAAAGGAGUUCUUUCAAAGUCGAAAGAUCUAAAGGUAUUAGAGAAAGGAGAACUGCAAGUUGCAGAGAAGGAGAAAGAAUCACAAUUAUCGAAUCAAUUUAGGGAUAUUGCAACUAUUGUCAUGAAGAAGACUAUAAAUCCUGACACAACGCCCGUAUACUAUAAGCAUGAAUGAACAUUUGAUCCAUGAAAUUCAUUUUGAUCGAUAUCUACAUGGCAAUUCCAUGAAAUAGUUGGGUUGGAUUGUAACUCAACUACAUGCUCAUGUUUUUGGGUCAAUAAUAGUUACUUCAAAAGUUCAUUUUUUAUGACUUUGUUGGGUAGCUAACCACAGGCACAAGAUGUUAUCUGAGAACUUAAAAUCCCAAUUAAGAGGUCCCCAAUGAGACUAAGGCUAAUAUAGUUUCUUUAAAAUCAAAGACGAUUUAGGACAGGUCCCCAAUGAGACUAAGGCUAAUAUAGUUUCGUUAAAAUCAAAGACGAUUUAGGACAUCAGAAAACUCAUAAGGUUAAAAAAGGGGUUUGGCAUGUGAUUAACAAUCUGUAAGUGUGAGAUCUGGCCUAUUACCUUUGGUUUCGCUCGCUGAAAUUGGAAUUAUUUAACAUGAAUCCUGUUGUUGUGAACGUUUUUUAGAUUUGACCAGUUUUUUUAAUGGGCAAACUAUGAUUUAAACAUGUUUUAAAACAUGAUUUAAGUGGAAGGCUUCUUAGCGUAAAGUCGUAGAAAAAAGUUAGACGGGUCAGACAUGUUCACGGUGGAUAGUAUCAAAAGGAAGCUGCAAAGGAUCAGAUUACCGGUCCCGGAUUACAAAUUUAGUUGGAAUAACUGGGUCCCCAAGAAGGUAUCGAUAGUGGCGUGGAGAGCUGAGAAGAAUCGCCUACCGACAAUGGAUGUUCUAGCCAGAAGGAGUAUAUAUUGCAUCUCAGAUCUAUGUGCUUUCUGUGGGGAGGUUGAAGAGUCAUGCGAGCAUACUUUUGUUUCAUGUCCCUUCGUACGAUCCUUGUGGCAGGUUAUUGGUCAAUGGUGCAAAGUGCAAGCGAUUUAUGCCUUUAGUUUUUGGGAUCUCCUGGGAUUACAUGACUCCAUCAAUGGGUCAAAAAAUAAGAGGAAAGCAUUUCGUUCCAUUCCUUUGACAACAAUCUGGUGUGUUUGGCGAAGGCGCAAUGAUGUAGUGUUUAAUCGGGCGCUGGUAUCAUUAGCGAAGGCGUUGAAGAAACAAAGGCCAUGAGCAUGCUUUGGGUUAAAUGCAAAGCCAAAGAGUAGUCGGUAACAUGGAACACGUUGCGAUCUUUUAUGGUCUUUGAAGCCGGUUAAGUUCUGUUUUGGUGGUGGCAAUUGAGUUAAUGUGCUUUGUACUGAUUAUUUAUUUUCACUUGGUAAAUGUUUUUAUCUUCUAGCAACUUGCUGGGUUUUGGUAAUAAAAUUUAUGUUGGCCUUUCACAGAAAACUGAUUCCAUUUCCUUUUCUUUAACUUAUGUGUAGAUUGAAGUUAUUAUUGAGUUAGUCAU